rnacentral:rRNA from 1 species
GACGAACGCUGGCGGCGUGCUUAACACAUGCAAGUCGAACGGAAAGGCCCUGCUUUUGUGGGGUGCUCGAGUGGCGAACGGGUGAGUAACACGUGAGUAACCUGCCCUUGACUUUGGGAUAACUUCAGGAAACUGGGGCUAAUACCGGAUAGGAGCUCCUGCUGCAUGGUGGGGGUUGGAAAGUUUCGGCGGUUGGGGAUGGACUCGCGGCUUAUCAGCUUGUUGGUGGGGUAGUGGCUUACCAAGGCUUUGACGGGUAGCCGGCCUGAGAGGGUGACCGGCCACAUUGGGACUGAGAUACGGCCCAGACUCCUACGGGAGGCAGCAGUGGGGAAUAUUGCACAAUGGGCGGAAGGCUGAUGCAGCAACGCCGGGGGCGGGAUGAAGGCCUUCGGGGUGUAAACCGCUUUCGCCUGUGACGAAGCGUGAGUGACGGUAAUGGGUAAAGAAGCACCGGCUAACUACGUG